rnacentral:lncRNA from 1 species
UGAAUGUCCACGUGGUGCCCUUCUAAAGACAUGGAGAGAUGCAGGAAAAUAGAAUUUGCCUUGUGACCUUGACGUCUGUUUGGAUCCGGGAAGGUGACUGGCGUCUGGAACACGCUCCCUGGGCAGGAACUGUUUGCGCGCGGCCCGCAUCCGGGAUUUC